GGGGAUAUAGCUCAGUAGGUAGAGCAAUUGGCUGUUAACCAAUAGGUCAAAGGUUCAAACCCUUUUAUCUCCGCCA
rnacentral:tRNA from 1 species